GAUGAAGAACGCAGCGAAAUGCGAUAAUUAAUGUGAAUUGCAGAAUUCCGUGAAUCAUCGAGUCUUUGAACGCACAUUGCGCCUCAUGGCAUUCCGUGAGGCAUGCCCAUCUCAGCGUUAGAAAAUAUUCUCAAAUUUUAGUUUUGUGCUAAAAUUUGGAUCAUGUCAAGGAAGCUAUUACUAUUAUUGUGAUCGCUCUUUGGAAAUUGAUAGGUCUUUGAGUUGCUACUCAUAGAACGUGAUGAAUCUUUCUUCGUUCUAUUGUAAUUCACUCUGGUAGUCCUAAAACUUGUAUGCCUGUGGCAUAUCUUGUAAUUUGACCUGAGAUUGGGUAGGGAUACCCGCUGAACUUAAGCAUAUCAAUAAGCGGAGG
rnacentral:misc_RNA from 1 species